rnacentral:siRNA from 1 species
UAAACUGAAUGCUACACCUUC